CGCCUCCUUUCUCGGUCCCAGUCCUACCGGGAAACAGAAAAUCAACACGCGGCGCGGCUGCAAAGUCGGUUUCCUAUUGGUCAGCGCCGCCUGGGCUGAGCCCGCCCGCCCCGCCUCUUCUCCCACCUGGGCGGGGCCUCUCCGCGGACCCCCGGCUGCCUCCUGCCCGCAGUCCAACUACCUGCCAGGAGAUCUUAAAGAGGCCGCGGCCGCAUUCAGACGCUGCGCGGCAUGGGGAGGGGGUGGCUCAAUGUCCCGGGCGCGGGGUUGAGGAUCCCAGUGUUCGAGCGCUGGAGGCGGGGCCCCAGCCUGUAGCGCUCGCUGCACCUGCGGAAUGUCCCUACUACUAGUUUCAGGCGCAGUUUCUCUAUUCACCAUUAGGGGGAAGGGAGCCCAGACCACUUGACAGCGAAUAAUAACAAAAGCUCACUUUGAUUCAGUGCGUUGCACAUGCCAGGGCUUUUACUCACCUCUCGCGUCGUCGUUGCCGAAACCCUAUAAGAUGUGCGUCAAUGUGAGUGUGCCCCAUGCAGAAGUUCCAAGUUCUUCCCCUCACUUGAGCUCAGUCUCAUACAGGUGUUCCUCCUACAAGGUGCUUUCCCUUACCUCACAGGUAUGUUUCUGAACAGGUUUCCCUCCACCCAUGAAUGCAUUCUACAGUCUCCCGCCCCAUAGGUGUGUUUCAGUAAAGCAUACACCCAUCUGGGUAUGUUUCCAUAUAACCAAGUCCCAUAUAGGUCUACGUAAAUGCAGGUAUGUCUCAUACAGGUAUUUACAAGACACUGACACCCCAGUAAUUCCCCAAUACAAGUGCUGUACAUUUCAUAGGUGAGCCAUGCAGA